CCUCUCAUUCUUGGUCUUCUUGUUUUUCUUCUCUUUCUAGAGAGAGAGCGGGAGCAAGAGAUGUUAAGGAUUUUAUAGGUUGGCGAAUUUCGUAAAGUUGUUUGGAGUCUUGAAGAGUUGAUCGCAGAAGAUUUUGAGAAAAGUUUCAAAGUGGAGGAAGAAGGCUCAUUCGGAAAGAACGACACCUAAGGUAUGAAGAAAAGAUCAUUUGUGGUGAAGAUAAAUAAUUUGAUUAAGUUCAGAAGGCUUAGAUUGUUUUUAAACAUAUUUUCUGAA
rnacentral:lncRNA from 1 species